CUCAUUAGAUCUACAUGCCACCUUGAGUGGUAGGCUCUCUGAUUCUUAUUGCUUCUCCCCACUAGUUUCGCAGAGUAGGACUAUAAAAAUUCAAGGAGCGAGGCAAAUUGCCACAAUCACACAGCUAGAAAGGGGCUCAAUACAGGAUGCCUGGCUACAAAGCCAUGUUCUCCAGUACCGUGAUGUACAGUUUCACGGUGUAUCCUUGCACUGGACUUCAGGGAGCUCACUACUUCUCAGGCAAGACUGCCUACUGAAUAGUUAGCACUGGCUGUUAGAGAGUCCCUUCUUUAAAUGAGCUUCAACAUGGUUCUCUGGGUUCCUGGUUCUGCAGUCAAGAUGAAGUCUUGGGGACUUUCUUGGUGACAGGUGGCCUUUGGAGUCAGGGACUGCUCCCUUCCCAUGGCCCACGUCAUGUUUGGCCACCCUUGCCUUGGGGACUGGUUACCUUCCCAGGACGUAGGUACACUCACCUGAUGGAAAUAUCCCGGCGACAUGUUCAUUGUGCAGGAGCCGUCCACUGUACACCGAAGUAGGAGUGUGUUACCUUCUGCCACCAGCAUACGACCCUCAGGCUGUAGCACCUGCCAUUUACUCCCAUAGCUCGGCUCAGAGGCUCCUACAACAGAGGAAGAAAGGAUUUGUGCUUAGCAGGAAGGAACUGGAGCCUUAAGAGCAUUAUUCCUAUCUUCACAGAAGACCCUGACAGCCCAGAUGAUUAGGUAAGUUUCCCAGGAUCACUAUUUAUGGGCUGAAUUGUGUCUCCCUGGCCAAAUUCAUAUGUUGGGGUCCUAACCCCCAGUACCUCUGAAUGUGGCUUCAUUUGGAGAUAGGGUUGUUAAAGAGGAAAUUAAGUUAAAAUUAGAGGAUGAGGGUGGACCCUAAUCCAAUAUGACUGGUGUCCUUAGAAGAAGAGUAGAUUAGGACACAGAUACACAAAGAGGGAGGCCCACAUGGAGGUAUAGGGAGAGGAUGGUCAUCUGUAAGCUAAGAAGAGAAGCCUCAGAAGAAACCAACCCUGCUGAUACCUAGACUUCCAGUCUCCAGAAGUAUGAGAAAAUACAUUUAAACCACCAGUCUGUUAUGGCCACCCAAACUAAUACCUCAUCCAAUAAGAAUGUGACAGUCUGUUUCUGGAGCCCCUGCUCUCAGCUCUCAGCUCACAAAUGUAUCACACAAAGUGUGUGCACGGUGGUGUUUAGUGUAAACAUCCUCCUUGUUUCCUGUGGAUUCUUUUUAAAAUUAAUGAAUUUUUAAAAAUUUUAAAGUAAUUUCUGUGCCUAACAUGGGACUUGAACUCACAACAUUGAGAACAAGAGUCAUAUGCUCUACCAACUGAGUCGGCCAGAUGCCCCUUGCCCCACCCCCGUGAAUUCUUUUCUUAAAAAAAACUACUUUAUUGAGGUAUUAUUUACAUACAGUAAAUACCAGAAAUUUUAUGUCCUGUAUGCAGUUCUAUAACUUUAAAAAUUUUUUUAAAAAUAUUUAUCUAUUUGAGAGAGAGACACAGAAUUACUCAUGAGAGAGACCAUGUGCAGAGAGGAAAGGGAUAAAUAGACUCCCUGUGGAACAGGGAGCCAGACAUGGGGCUCGAUCCCAGGACUCUGGGAUCAUGACCUGAGCUGAAGGCAGACGCUUAACUGACUGAGCCACCCAGGCACCUCAAAACAUUUUUUAAUUUGAAGUAGAGUUGAAUAUAACAUUAUAUUAUUUUCAGGUGUCUUGUGUGAAUUCUUUGCCAAACUGCAAUGCUUGGGGGAUCCCUGGGUGGCUCAGUGGUUUAGCGCCUGCCUUAGGCACAGGACGUGAUCCUGGAGUCCCGGGGUCGAGUCCCACAUCAGGAUCCCUGCAUGGAGCCUGCUUCUCUCUCUGCCUCUCUCUUUCUCUGUGUCUCUCAUGAAUAAAUAAAUAAAAUCUUUAAAAAAAAAACUGCAAUGCUUGUUGGUGUGUAGGGAAGUGGGUCUAUUUUGGUUGUUGAACUGCUGAGUUGGGCCUUAAAACAGGCACAGAGAAAGAGGACCAAGGCCUCUCAUGCAAGUUCUUUCAUACCUGGGUAAUAAACAUCAUCUCAGGUGUUCCCCUCAAGAACUCCCUGAGGCAUGAGUUAUUACCUCCAUUUUUGAGAUGAGGAAACCUAAUGGGGAAGAAACAUGAGGGGACCAAGGCAUUCCAUUAGC